UCUCCCAGGUUUCAAGAAUCUGUUACAACAGUUUUUCCACUGAAACAUCUAUCCUGGCAGAAACCUGACUUCAGAUACCAUUAUUUGUACAAUUUCCUAAGAAUACACACUGCUGGAAGGACUUCCCCACUUGUUUAAGGUCACUGACUCUGCAGUGCAUCUCCCUGCCAGUACCAGGUGCAUGUGUAACACAGAGAGAGAAAUUCUCAGGAACAGGAGCUUUGAAAUCAGUCCUACCAGGAAAUUAGGACAAAGGGAGAUUCUUCACCUUUAUUUUUCAGAGAGAAGAAAGAAGUUGCAAAGCAGGAAGAGAAAAGGAGUGGUCAGGUCCAGUGGGAGCUGGAGAAGUUCUCCAAUGGUGUGAUCCUCAAACACACCUUGGUGGAGCCUUUACGGACAGCUGCUCUCAGGGAUGGGGUUGAACAUCAAUGGAAUCCAGUGGAAGCUGUUCCCAGGGGGUAAAAGGAUCCCUGCUCCCAAGCUGGAGUGCUCCCUGGCCUGGAGGAGCUCCUCUUGUGCAGGCAGCUCCUGCCCUGCCUCUGCCUGUCUCUGCUUUCCAUCAGAGAUUCCUCACGUGCCGCAGCUGAACUGCCCGGUAAGCUCCCGUGAAUAAAACCUUGAUUUUGCCUAA